UACGAGGGGGGCAAGCGUUGUUCGGAAUUAUUGGGCGUAAAGGGCGCGUAGGCGGUGCGGUAAGUCACCUGUGAAAACUCUGGGCUCAACUCAGAGCCUGCAGGCGAAACUGCCGUGCUGGAGUGUGGGAGAGGUGCGUGGAAUUCCUGGUGUAGCGGUGAAAUGCGCAGAUAUCAGGAGGAACACCGGUGGCGAAGGCGGGUCUCUGGGCAAUAACUGACGCUGAGGAGCGAAAGCGUGGGGAGCGAACAGG
rnacentral:rRNA from 1 species